CGUGGGCGCUGGAAGACUGAGGGGGGCUGCUCCUAGUACGAGAGGACCGGAGUGGACGCAUCACUGGUGUUCGGGUUGUCAUGCCAAUGGCACUGCCCGGUAGCUAAAUGCGGAAAAGAUAAGUGCUGAAAGCAUCUAAGCACGAAACUUGCCCCGAGAUGAGUCUUCCCUGAGACUUUGAGUCUCCUGAAGGAACGUUAAAGACGAUGACGUUGAUAGGCCGGGUGUGUAAGCGCAGCGAUGCGUUGAGCUAACCGGUACUAAUGAACCGUGAGGCUUAACCUUACAACGCCGAAGGUGUUU
rnacentral:rRNA from 1 species